UCGGAAUUGCUAGUAAUCGUAGGUCAGCAUACUACGGUGAAUACGUUCCCGGGCCUUGUACACACCGCCCGUCAAACCAUGAGAGUUGGCAACACCCGAAGUCGGUAGUCUAACCGCAAGGAGGACGCCGCCGAAGGUGGGGUUNAUGAUUAGGGUUAAGUCGUAACAAGGUACC
rnacentral:rRNA from 1 species